rnacentral:rRNA from 1 species
GUACGGGCAGACUAGAGUGCGGUAGGGGAGAAGGGAAUUCCUGGUGUAGCGGUGGAAUGCGCAGAUAUCAGGAGGAACACCGAUGGCGAAGGCACUUCUCUGGGCCGUAACUGACGCUGAGGAGCGAAAGCGUGGGGAGCGAACAGGAUUAGAUACCCUGGUAGUCCACGCCGUAAACGUUGGGCGCUAGAUGUGGGCACCAUUCCACGGUGUCCGUGUCGCAGCUAACGCAUUAAGCGCCCCGCCUGGGGAGUACGAUCGCAAGAUUAAAACUCAAAGGAAUUGACGGGGCCCCGCACAAGCAGCGGAGCAUGCGGCUUAAUUCGACGCAACGCGAAGAACCUUACCAAGGCUUGACAUAUACAGGAAUAUGGCAGAGAUGUCGUAGCCGCAAGGUCUGUAUACAGGUGGUGCAUGGUUGUCGUCAGCUCGUGUCGUGAGAUGUUGGGUUAAGUCCCGCAACGAGCGCAACCCUCGUUCUGUGUUGCCAGCAUUUAGUUGGGGACUCACAGGAGACUGCCGGGGUUAACUCGGAGGAAGGUGGGGAUGACGUCAAAUCAUCAUGCCCCUUAUGUCUUGGGCUGCACGCAUGCUACAAUGGCUGGUACAAACGGCUGCAAUACCGCAAGGUGGAGCGAAUCCGAGAAAGCCAGUCUCAGUUCGGAUUGGGGUCUGCAACUCGACCCCAUGAAGUCGGAGUUGCUAGUAAUCGUAGAUCAGCAACGCUACGGUGAAUACGUUCCCGGGGCUUGUACACACCGCCCGUCACGUCACGAAAGUCGGUAACACCCAAAGUCAGUGGCCCAACCGUAAGGA